rnacentral:rRNA from 1 species
CUGGCGGCGUGCCUAAACAUGCAAGUCGAACGAGAAAGUGGAGCAAUCCAUGAGUAAAGUGGCGACCGGGUGAGUAACACGUGACUAACCUACCUCCGAGUGGGGAAUAACUCCGGGAAACCGGGGCUAAUACCGCAUAACGUCGCAAGAUCAAAGCAGCAAUGCGCUUGGAGAGGGGGCCGCGGCUGAUUAGCUCGUUGGCGGGGUAACGGCCCACCAAGGCGAAGAUCGGUAUCCGGCCUGAGAGGGCGCACGGACACACUGGAACUGAAACACGGUCCAGACUCCUACGGGAGGCAGCAGUGGGGAAUUUUGCGCAAUGGGGGAAACCCUGACGCAGCAACGCCGCGUGGAGGAUGAAGCCCUUUGGGGCGUAAACUCCUUUCGACUCGGACGAUAAUGACGGUACGAGUGGAAGAAGCACCGGCUAACUCUGCGCCAGCAGCCGCGGUAAUACAGAGGGUGCGAGCGUUGUUCGGAAUUAUUGGGCGUAAAGGGCGCGUANGCGGUGCGGUAAGUCACCUGUGAAAUCUCCUGGCUUAACUGGGAGCCUGCA